UAUGACACAACAUUAUUUUCUUUGCAUACUACUAUAGGAAUUGAGUAUGCAUAUUUAAAUUCUAUUGUGCCUGCUUUGACAGACUGUUGGACAACUUCAAUGAUAUAUUUUAGCAGAUAACUUAAUGAACUCCUUUGAUUUAUGGGGUUAUAUCUAUCAUUCUUUCAUAUUUGCCAUAAUUGUUUUGGCACCCACCAAGUCGUUUGAUGCCUGCUUUUGCACUUCAGGUUUGGGUAAAGUCGGAACAAAA
rnacentral:misc_RNA from 1 species